GUCAUCCUCGAAGUCUGUAGCCCUUUUGUGUGAGUGCCUGGCAAGGGUGACGUGGGGCCGUUCCUACGGGCACAGCUGCAGCACUGACCAGAGUGGAGGCAGGGCCCAGGCACGCUGCCUUCCCAGACCUUCCUUCGGGCUUUUCAGCAGUAAGGGGGACAUGCACCCCAAGGGCCUCCGCUUGGCCUGACCCUGCAGUGGGGGCUCUCUGUCCCUAGGAACAGUGGAGAUGGCAAGCUUAUCGAGACCCUCUCUGCCCAGCUGCCUCUGCUCCUUCCUCCUGCUCCUCCUCCAUGUGUCUCCCAGCUACGCAGGGCAGUUCCGAGUGAUAGGACCAAGACACCCCAUCCAGGCUCUGGUGGGGGAUGAAGUGGAAUUGCCAUGUCGCAUAUCUCCUGGGAAGAAUGCUACAGGCAUGGAGGUGGGUUGGUACCGCCCCCCCUUCUCUAGGGUGGUUCAUCUCUACAGAAAUGGCAAGGAUCAAGACGGAGAGCAGGCACCUGAAUAUCGGGGUCGAACAGAGCUGCUGAAAGACGGUAUUGGUGAGGGAAAGGUGACUCUCAAGAUCCGGAAUGUAAGGUUCCUAGACGAAGGAGGUUUCACCUGCUUCUUCCGAGAUCAUUCUUACCAAGAGGAGGCAGUAAUGGAAUUGCAAGUGGAAGAUCCCUUCUACUGGGUCAGCUCUGGAGUGCUGGUUCUCCUCGCAGUGGUGCCUGUGCUCCUCCUGCAGAUCAGCGUGGGUCUCCUCUUCCUCUGCCUGCAGCACAGACUGAGAGGAAAACUUCGAGCAGAGAUAGAGAAUCUCCACCGGACUUUUGAUCCCCACUUUCUGAGAGUGCCCUGCUGGAAGAUAACCCUGUUUGUAAUUGUGCCGGUUCUUGGACCCCUGGUUGCCUUGAUCAUCUGUUACAACUGGCUACAUCGAAGACUAGCAGGGCAAUUCCUUGAAGAGCUAAGUAAGUUCUCUUCUCUCUCUUAUAAGCAGAAAAUAAAAAGCCAGGAAAGAGAGACAGAAGCAACAAGAGGAAAAGGGGGACUGUUGAGGAAUCAGUCCCAGAGGAAAGGAGGAGCUGGAGAGCCCCGAGGGAGGGAGAACUCCUCCUGGGAGGUAGAAGGGAAAGAGGCCAGUUGUUAGACACAUUUACAGCUGACAGAGAAGCUGGAGGCACUGCUGCCUGAUCUCCUCCUUCACUGUUCCUAAGCAGGAAUCCCACCCUAGCUGUUCUCAUUGCCCAUUUCACAGCAACUGCCCAGUGCCUCACCUCUAAGACCAACCAUUGAGGCAGGCAUGGAGACAAAAUAACCCCAAAGGCUUUUCUUCUCCCUAGUUCAAUGGUUUUAUGAUACAAACUACUGACAUCGAUUUUUCAAGUUAUUUUCUUUUUCUUCUAGGAAAUCCCUUCUGAAUGAUGUCGCAUCUUGGCAGGGGUGGAGGAGAGCCUGGUUGCCCAGGGAUUGGUCCUUGGGGAUGUCUCAUCCUUCAAGUUGCACACUCACUAGCAUCUUUGCUCUGGGGACAUUCCAAUUUGCACUUCCGGAACACUCUGGAUUCCAAGUAGAAUUGAUUUCGCUUCUGUCAUCUACCUUUUCUCUUCCUUCUUUUUCCCAUUUUUAUUACCAAUCUUUCCAUUUCUCUCUCCAGUCCUCCCCCUGGAAGUCCUCUCUGGCUAAGGACAGGCAGGUGCUCCUCUCUCCAUCAGAGGACAUCUUUGCUGGAAAGCAACACAGAUAGGAUGGUCUUUGUCACAAACUGGAGGCCAGGAACCUCCUUACUGAAAAUUACAGUAUGAUAACUUUGCAGAUGGUGGUUGUUUCCUCCAAGACUCCAGCCCUGAUUGCGCAGAACUGAGAUGCAUGUGAAGGGAAGGAAGAGGAAGAGAUCAGAACGUUAAAGAGAGCUGAGUGAGCUCCAGAGUGCGGACAUGGGUAGCCCCAACCCAAACCUGGAGAUUGGGAGAAACCUACAGAAUAGCCAGAGGUCUACCUUGUUUUGGUAGCCUACUAGGGACUUGGGGAAGCAAGAGGUGAAAUCUAGGCAACAUGCCUGCUUUAGAAUGUUUUACUUAUAUAUCUUCCACACGUCUCUCAGAAUCUUCCCCGCCCCCAUUCCUUUUCUCCCAUCUUCAUACCUAUCAGAGUAUCCACUGUUUAUUCGACAACUACUUCUGAAUGGUCUAUCAGACACAAACAAAUAAGCUAGGUGCUAAUUAAUAAUAAUACCAGUUUUGGCCGGGCACGGUGGCUCAAGCCUGUAAUCCCAGCACUUUGGGAAGCCGAGGCGGGUGGAUCACGAGGUCAAGAGAUCGAGACCAGCCUGGUCAACAUGGUGAAACCCCAUCUCUACUAAAAAUACAAAAAAUUAGCUGGGCAUGGUGGUGCAUGCCUGUAAUCCCAGCUACUCAGGAGGCUGAGGCAGGAGAAUUGCCUGAACCCAGGAGGCAGAGGUUGCAGUGAGCCGAGAUCGCGCCACUGCACUCCAGCCUGGGCGAUAGAACAAGACUCUGUCCUGGAAGAAAAAAAAAAAAAAAAAGAAAGAAAGAAAGAAA